UGAGGAAUAUUGGGCAAUGGAGGCAACUCUGACCCAGCCAUGCCGCGUGAGUGAAGAAGGUUUUCGGAUUGUAAAGCUCUUUCGGAUGUGACGAUGAUGACGGUAGCAUCUAAAGAAGCCCCGGCUAACUUCGUGCCAGCAGCCGCGGUAAUACGAAGGGGCGAGCGUUGUUCGGAAUUACUGGGCGUAAAGGGUGUGUAGGCGGUUAUGUAAGAUAGCGGUGAAAUCCCGGGGCUUAACCUCGGAAUAGCCGUUAUAACUAUGUAGCUAGAGUUAUGGAGAGGAUAGCGGAAUACCCAGUGUAGAGGUGAAAUUCGUAGAUAUUGGGUAGAACACCGGUGGCGAAGGCGGCUAUCUGGCUAUAUACUGACGCUGAGGCACGAAAGCAUGGGGAUCAAACAGGAUUAGAUACCCUGGUAGU
rnacentral:rRNA from 1 species